GUAGGUGUCCAAGUUCAGAGGGAGCUCGUGGAUCCCAAAGAAAGGCUCACAAGAUAGGGGCAGAACUUAUGUUCUAAAAAUGAGUGUAAGUGCCAGAAAGGGGGUUGGGGAAUGCCAUGGCAGGCUGGUGGUUAUGCCUAUCCACAAGGUAGGCUGGCACACCCCUGACCAAGCCUGUUCAACCAACAAAUAAAGAGCACAAACCUAUUGAAGGUCGGAUUAUGGUCUGGGCAGUGAUUAGGGCGGUGCCAGACCAAGGUCUCAAGCUCAAAAUCCAUAUAAGGGGGAAAACGAAUGCGAAUUGAAAGAGUUUAGGACCCAAGGAGUCCAGUCCAUAUACAUGACGAACCAUGUCAAGGGUUGUCAUGUUUUCUGAACCAUAACUCACCAGACAAAGGGUUCAAGGAUGGGGAUUCAUAUAGGAGCAAAAAUAACAAUUUUGCAAAAAGUAGUAAAAAUAAACAAAGAAAAAGAUUGAAGCAUAAACACUUAAGAGAGGGGUAGAAUUUAAACAAGAAGAACAUACCAGUUGCAGGAAAGCAAGCAGAAAGAAAAUCAGGAUACUUGCAGCCAAAACACAAUCAGAGAAGAGAGCUUAUGAGUUGAUAGAAAAUUCAAAUGCUUUUUAGAAAAACCUAAGUGUAUUUGAGAUUUGAAGUGGUGACUUAUGUCGUUAGAACUUGUCCUUGAAAGAGAAAAAGGUGCAGGUAUUUAUAGCUUUGAAAAUGUGUAGAAAACAAGGUAACGAAUAUGAAUUCAACACAAACAUGGAAAUAGUCACAGUCAAAAUUAAUUAAUACAGGUUUUCCCUUUAAUCAAGGGAUUAAUGCUCAACGGACACUAACAAGAUUAAUAUAAGGAAAGAAAAUUAAUUGGUAAGCAUAAUGAUUGAUGACAUAAAAGGAGCAGUAAAACCAUAUAGUAAGGGAUUAAGUCUAAAUACAAGAGUGUACUUAUUUUUGGAAAGGAUUUGGUAAGGUCAAGCAAAGAGAGAGAAUCAAUUAACCCUUAACGGGCGAGUAAAAAUCAGAAUUUUACAAGGAAAGGUUUUGAAAAUUAAUCACGAGUUUGAAAAAAUCAAUCACAGAAGGGACUCAGUAUAUAUAUGAAGUACACAAGUAAUAGACAUGUGACGCCAAGCAAUGGCAAGAAGAGGUAGCAUACAGUAAUAGCAUGAUAGUCACGUAGGUCAAAUUUAAUUGGUUUAGUAAUAGAGAAAUGAUCAGAAGCAUACAAAAGUUAGGCGAAAACCUUUCUGAAAACAUAGUCGAGUUUGACAGAUAGCAAGAACACCGGACAAAGCUGAACCACAUAAAGGAAUGAGAUGCUGAAACAAAAGGAAUCAGGCUAAGCAACUUCAGACAGUCGAAUUGCACAAAUAAACUCAAGGGACUCGAAUAGGCCCCAAAGAAACUAGGGUUUUCAAAAAUUAGUCGAGUUUAGAGGCGAUAAACAAGUGAAACAAACAAGCGAAUUCAGAAUCUCAAAUAAACCCCAAAAAUUAGGGUUUUUAAUGCUAAUCAGGUGAAAUCAAGGUAAAUCAAACUAAUACAAACAAAUAGACUAAGAAACUCAAACAAAAUUCCAAAAAUUAGGGUUUUCAACAUGCUAACUCAAAUAGAAAAAUAACUCAAGCAAAACACAGCAAAACAUGUCGAGAAUCAGAGAAAAGAUUUGAAAUAACUUAACAUGAAACUCUAGUUGAAGAAUAAAGAGUUUAGAAAGCAAUAUUAAAGAAACUUCAAGAAAAAUGCUUAGCAAGUUCAAACGUGCAUAGAUCCGGAGCAGAUCUGAAAUAAAAUUGGAGGAACCCUAGAGAUUAGGGUUUCGUAAAAAACCCAGGUGAUGAGAAAGGCUUUGAAAAUCAUCGAUCUGAGAAGGAGAGUCGAAGGUCGAACUCGAAUAGCCAUGGCUGGUCGGACAAAGGCAGAAGACGACCGAAGAACGGUCAUCAAGUAAAGGCUUGGUUGAAACCCUUCAAAAUCUAAUCAUGGGACCUCAGAAACGAGUAUGUAGAAGCCAUCAGACUCUGGUAUAUGCCUCCAUUGAGCCUGGGAAACCGUGGAUUAGGGCUUCAGUGAGAGGCGACGACUAGGUUUUGAGGUGAGUUGUGAGAGAGUUGAGAGAGAGAAGGGAUUCAAAUGUGG
rnacentral:lncRNA from 1 species